GGAAGAAGGAAACAUGGUAAGGUAAAUGGAAAUGAAAGAUGGUUCCAUUGGUUUGCUCGCGCUGAUGCCCCCGGGCUUUGAUGUAGCGAGGUUGGAUGCGACCCACAUCC